rnacentral:tRNA from 1 species
GGGCAAUUAACUCAGCGGGAGAGUGCCACCUUCACCCGGUGGAAGUCACUGGUUCAAAUCCAGUAUUGCCCA